GUAAUUGGUUAUAUUGACUGACUUUUCAUUGUAAUUGGUUAUAUUUUAAAACAUAAAUGCGUGACGUGUUAUAGAAAUAGAGACAGAAUACUAUUCUGUUUUCGUUACACAGCACCACGGUCUUGUGCACUAAGCGAUCGUCACGCCACUCAUGCCUCUGGCGGCUUUAACCAUCAAACCAACGUACCCCCACCACUAGUUUCCCGACCUGUGUGAUAAGACCGUGAUGCCAACGAUUGGCAAUAUUGUAUAAUGUCAUUUUUAUUGUUCAUUGUCAUGUCUGAAUUACAAUAAUAUCUGUGAAAUGCUAAUUGAUCGAUAUCGUCGCUAGGUAAACAUUAGUUUUGCUAAAAUAUAAAAUUGCAAUCCUUUAACCGGCUCUACGUAUACAGAAUUUGUAUAUUUUCAACUUUUUUUUCAAUUGUCAUAUUUUUGGUGAUGAAAUAUUUAUUGUAUAUUUAAACGAUAAGGAUAUUCGAACACUAACGUGACUCCAGCGGUAAUUUAACGUGACUAGCGUGACUGGUACUAGUACAGUUUCAAAUCUAUUGGGGUUCUGUUUCCGUAAUUCACGCUAAUGUCUGAAUAUCCUCAACCUUUUUGAAUUAAAACGAAAACAACAGUAAGAAGUAAUCGCAUUGAUAAGUCUGUGUAAACACUGGGUUAGAAAAUGCAACUUUGGCAAUGGAAUAUAAAUUUUAUUUAUAGAACAAUAAUAUAAUAUAUAUUUCCAUAAAACGAAAACCUGUAAAGGAUAAAUUGAAGCCUAACCUGCCACUGCUUCACAAUACGUUAGUGGAGAACGCAUAAUCAAUAUUAUAAAAUAUUUGAUGAAACAGAUAGUAAAGUUUUACAAAUAUGAUUGACUAUAACAAGAAAAAUGCCAAAAUAUACUAUACAUGGCAGAACUUUAUAAAUUGGCAUAAUAUUAUAAUUUUGACUUAGUCUAAGUUUAUCUAUUGUGGGUUGAUGUCUAAUGUAUUUGGAGGUCAAGCUAUAAUGAAAUUUUAAUUUAAACUCAUAAAUAAAGUCGGGUGAAUUUUUUUUCUUAAUUUCUUAUUUCCUAAAGGUAAUGUUAGUUGUGUGAGACCUUUUUGUAAAUUAUUUACCUUCUAGUGUUCAGUUCGGAAUAUGAUGUAAAUAUAAUUAGUAAAAUUUAAUUAAUA